AUGGUGCAUAUGAAUCAAGGACAAGGGGAAACAAGCUAUGCACACAACUCCAGUAUCCAGAACGCUCAGCAGAACAGGAUGAAGCCCCUGAUAGAAGCGGCCAUCAUUGACUUGUGCGGCAGCAAAAGCACCUUGUUCCCCGAAAAGAUGCUGAUUGCGGACUUGGGCUGCUCUUAUGGCCCAAAUGCGCUAGCACUGGUAUCGACUGCCGUCAAGGCCAUCAUCAACCACUGCCUUCAGUUCCAGCAACCACCACCCGAAGUGUGUGUGCUCCUCAAUGACCUUCCUGACAAUGACUUCAACACGGUGGUGAAGAGCCUGGCCACGCUCCGUCAAAAUAACAACAAGCUUGUUGUUGUGACUGGUGUAGCACCGGGGUCAUUUUACGAGAGGCUCUUCACUAGUGACUCCUUGCAUCUUGUCUGCUCGUCCAACAGCUUGCAUUGGCUCUCCAUGGCUCCCGAAGAUCUGACAAUGAACCAGAUCCCUGCGUACGACAUGGAUGAGCAUGCUAGGCGUGAAAGACUCCCUACGGUCCGUGAAGCAUAUGCACGCCAGUUCAGGAAAGAUUUCAUACUUUUCCUGGAGCUGAGAGCCAAAGAAUUGGUUCCAGGAGGCCGAAUGGUUGUUUCUCUUGUAGGGCGGCCUUCUAAUGUAAAAGCCUCCAAAUUCUUUCACCUUUGGGAAACUCUAGUUCAGAUUCUAAGUGUCAUGGCCUUAGAGGGUGUGAUCGACAAAGCGAAGUUUGAUUCUUUCUAUGUGCCGGUGUAUGGACCCUCUGGUGAAGAGCUGAGGGAGAUCAUCCAAGACGAGGGCUCCUUUUCUAUCAGGGAUAUGCGGGUAUAUGACGCUACAACUGAUAUGGACAGCAUGCUCUUCACCCCAAGCUCGUUUGUGAAUUAUCUGAGAGCCAUAUUUGAGCCGAUAAUAGUCGAGCAUUUUGGAGAGGUCAUGGAUGAAUUUGUGAGGACCGCGGAGCGGCGCUGGAGCCUCGAGGGCAGCAUGCAAAACGAGCGUGCUAGGAAUCCAUGA
rnacentral:rRNA from 1 species